UCUUUUAGACAUUGGGUAGGGGAGCGUUCUGUAAGCCGUUGAAGGUGAAUCGUAAGGUUUGCUGGAGGUAUCAGAAGUGCGAAUGCUGACAUGAGUAACGACAAAGGGGGUGAAAAACCUCCUCGCCGGAAGACCAAGGGUUCCUGUCCAACGUUAAUCGGGGCAGGGUGAGUCGACCCCUAAGGUGAGGCCGAAAGGCGUAAUCGAUGGGAAACGGGUUAAUAUUCCCGUACUUCUGACUAUUGCGAUGGGGGGACGGAGAAGGCUAGGUGGGCCAGGCGACGGUUGUCCUGGUUCAAGUGCGUAGGCUUGAGAGUUAGGUAAAUCCGGCUCUCUCUAAGGCUGAGACACGACGUCGAGCUACUACGGUAGUGAAGUCAUUGAUGCCAUGCUUCCAGGAAAAGCCUCUAAGCUUCAGAUAGUCAGGAAUCGUACCCCAAACCGACACAGGUGGUCGGGUAGAGAAUACCAAGGCGCUUGAGAGAACUCGGGUGAAGGAACUAGGCAAAAUGGUACCGUAACUUCGGGAGAAGGUACGCUCUUGAUGGUGAAGUCCCUCGCGGAUGGAGCUGACGAGAGUCGCAGAUACCAGGUGGCUGCAACUGUUUAUUAAAAACACAGCACUGUGCAAAAUCGCAAGAUGACGUAUACGGUGUGACGCCUGCCCGGUGCCGGAAGGUUAAUUGAUGGGGUUAGCGCAAGCGAAGCUCUUGAUCGAAGCCCCGGUAAACGGCGGCCGUAACUAUAACGGUCCUAAGGUAGCGAAAUUCCUUGUCGGGUAAGUUCCGACCUGCACGAAUGGCGUAAUGAUGGCCACGCUGUCUCCACCCGAGACUCAGUGAAAUUGAAAUCGCUGUGAAGAUGCAGUGUACCCGCGGCUAGACGGAAAGACCCCGUGAACCUUUACUACAGCUUGGCACUGAACAUUGAACCUACAUGUGUAGGAUAGGUGGGAGGCUAUGAAGACGUGACGCCAGUUGCGUUGGAGCCGUCCUUGAAAUACCACCCUUGUAUGUUUGAUGUUCUAACUUAGACCCAUUAUCUGGGUUGAGGACAGUGCCUGGUGGGUAGUUUGACUGGGGCGGUCUCCUCCCAAAGAGUAACGGAGGAGCACGAAGGUGGGCUAAUCACGGUUGGACAUCGUGAGGUUAGUGCAAUGGCAUAAGCCCGCUUAACUGCGAGAAUGACGGUUCGAGCAGGUGCGAAAGCAGGUCAUAGUGAUCCGGUGGUUCUGUAUGGAAGGGCCAUCGCUCAACGGAUAAAAGGUACUCCGGGGAUAACAGGCUGAUACCGCCCAAGAGUUCAUAUCGACGGCGGUGUUUGGCACCUCGAUGUCGGCUCAUCACAUCCUGGGGCUGAAGUCGGUCCCAAGGGUAUGGCUGUUCGCCAUUUAAAGUGGUACGCGAGCUGGGUUUAGAACGUCGUGAGACAGUUCGGUCCCUAUCUGCCGUGGGCGUUGGAAGAUUGAAGGGGGCUGCUCCUAGUACGAGAGGACCGGAGUGGACGAACCUCUGGUGUUCGGGUUGUGUCGCCAGACGCAUUGCCCGGUAGCUAAGUUCGGAAUUGAUAAGCGCUGAAAGCAUCUAAGCGCGAAGCGAGCCCUGAGAUGAGUCUUCCCUGACAGUUUAACUGUCCUAAAGGGUUGUUCGAGACUAGAACGUUGAUAGGCAGGGUGUGUAAGCGUUGUGAGGCGUUGAGCUAACCUGUACUAAUUGCCCGUGAGGCUUAACCAUACAACACCCAAGG
rnacentral:rRNA from 1 species